AACAACACAUGGAAAUACCUGAACCACAGAUCUGACAGUACCCUGAACAUUUUUACCUGAAAAAUCAGGCAUCUUGACAUGACACCUUAAGAAGCAUCAUGUUCUGCUAUGUGAGAAAGUGGAUAACAACACAAGAAUACCAGAUGUUGAUUGCUUGUUGCAGUUAAAUCAUUUGCAUGUACAAGUACAUCAGCAGUCCUCAUUACCAGGCAGAGAAAUGAUGAAUAUUCAUUGAAAUCAACUUGAAACUGCAAAACUCAGGAAAACUGCUAAACUGACACCAAGUCCAGAGCAACUUCAGAGAGGCAUAUAUAUCUUUCAGCGGGGCCAAGGGUGGUGGGUGGCGCGUAGGUUCCACGGCAGCCGAUCGCCUAUGAUAGGCGAUCGCUUCCGCUUGGAUAAUCCCAACUGUCUUAAUGCGCGAAAUGCUGCCGAAAUUU
rnacentral:lncRNA from 1 species